UAGGGAAUCUUCGGCAAUGGACGAAAGUCUGACCGAGCAACGCCGCGUGAGUGAAGAAGGUUUUCGGAUCGUAAAACUCUGUUGUUCGAGAAGAACAAGGACGUUAGUAACUGAACGUCCCCUGACGGUAUCUAACCAGAAAGCCACGGCUAACUACGUGCCAGCCGCCGCGGUAAUACGUAGGUGGCAAGCGUUGUCCGGAUUUAUUGGGCGUAAAGCGAGCGCAGGCGGUUUCUUAAGUCUGAUGUGAAAGCCCCCGGCUCAACCGGGGAGGGUCAUUGGAAACUGGGAGACUUGAGUGCAGAAGAGGAGAGUGGAAUUCCAGGUGUAGCGGUGAAAUGCGUAGAUAUAUGGAGGAACACCAGUGGCGAAGGCGGCUCUCUGGUCUGUAACUGACGCUGAGGCUCGAAAGCGUGGGGAGCAAACAGG
rnacentral:rRNA from 1 species